rnacentral:rRNA from 1 species
UUGGGCACUCUAAGGUGACUGCCGGCUAAAGUCGGAGGAAGGUGGGGAUGACGUCAAAUCAUCACUGCCCCUUAUGGACCUGGGCUACACACGUGCUACAAUGGGCGGUACAAAGGGUCGCGAACCCGCGAGGGGGAGCCAAUCCCAAAAAGCCGCUACUCAGUUCGGAUUGCAGGCUGCAACUCGCCUGCAUGAAGCCGGAAUCGCUAGUAAUCGCGGAUCAGCAUGCCGCGGUGAAUACGUUCCCGGGCCUU